ensembl:lncRNA
CUGCUCGCCCAGGGGAAGCGGCCGCACCAGGACCGGCAGUGCAGAGACGGCCCGACUCGCCGCCUUGGGGGCUCCAGACAUGACUGAGAGUUCCUGGAGUGGGAUGCCUUGGGAAGGGCUGGGACGUCUCCACCUGAGCAAGGAGAGAUCCCAGUGAGUGGACGAGGGACUUUUGAAGCCUGUGAGUUCCUUCUUCCACCUGGCUACCACCAGACUUGCCAUCUGACUGCUCUGAGUUUCUCCCGGAGAGUCCCAACCUGCUUCUCCAUUGGCCCCGGAGAGGAGACAGCUUUGUCCCGUGAACACACUGGAUUUCUGCAUCACUUCGAAACAGCGGUGCAGCCAUGGGGAGGGAGCCAGGGCAACACAGGCAGCCAAGGGAUCAUCCCACCUCACUCCUGUAUGUUGCCUUCAGUGCCCUCAAUACCCCAGAGCAGGACCAAAGUGCUUAGGCAGAGAGACCUGAGCCAGUCACUGUCUCACCUGAUGAAAUACUAUGUGUGUGAAGUUUGGAAGGAGCUUUAGC